UACGUAGGUGGCAAGCGUUGUCCGGAUUUACUGGGCGUAAAGAGCGCGCAGGCGGUCGUUCAAGUCGCGUGUGAAAGCCCCCGGCUCAACUGGGGAGGGUCACGCGAUACUGAUCGACUCGAAGGCAGGAGAGGGACGCGGAAUUCCAGGUGUAGCGGUGAAAUGCGUAGAUAUCGGGAGGAACACCAGUGGCGAAGGCGACUACCUGGCCUGUUCUUGACGCUGAGGCGCGAAAGCUAGGGGAGCAAACGGG
rnacentral:rRNA from 1 species